rnacentral:rRNA from 1 species
CGGUGGAUGAUGUGGAUUAAUUCGAUGCAACGCGAAAACCUUACCUACCCUUGACAUGUCUGGAGCCUUGGUGAGAGCCGAGGUGCCUUCGGGAGCCAGAACACAGGUGCUGCAUGGCUGUCGUCAGCUCGUGUCGUGAGAUGUACGGUUAAGUCCGUGAACGAGCGCAACCCCUGCCCUUAGUUGCUAAUAUGCGAAAGCAUAUGCACUCUAAGGGGACCGCCAGCGGAAAGCUGGAGGAAGGUGGGAUGACGUCAAAUCCUCAUGGCCUUUAUGUCCAGGGCUACACACAUGCGACAAUGGUCGAGACAACGCGUUGCAAACCAGUAAUGGUAAGCUAAUCGCAUAAAAUCGACCUCAGUACGGAUUGAGGGUUGCAAUUCACCCUCAUGAAGCUGGAGUUGCUAGUAACCGCAGGUCAGCUAUACUGCGAUGAAUACGUUCCCGGGGCUU